AGCUCGUGCGUCACGACGCCGCCAGCUGAUCGGAGCCUGGAGCCGGUGUGUGCUGGGUGCCGAGAAGAGACAGCGCCGCCGGCCGUGGGGAGCGGACGCAGUGAUUUGCUCCCCCUCGUGCAGCAACCCCCACACCCAGCACCAGGCCCCCAGAACUCUCCUUCCAGCUGAACUCCCUGGGAACAAGUCAGUUGGGCUGAUCACUGAACUCACAUUUCUGGACCUGAGGAGCCUGUUCCUCUCACGCCCUCACCUGGCUGAGCCGCAGUAGUUCUUCAGUGGCAAGCUUUAUGUCCUGACCCAGCUAAAGCUGCCAGUUGAAGAACUGUUGCCCUCUGCCCCUGGCUUCGAGGAGGAGGAGGAGCUGCUUUCCCCAUCAUCUGGAAGGAAGCUGUGUCUGUUCGAUUUGGUGGGAGGAGAUGUGCAGGGAGCUGUAUCUUGUCCUCCGCUUGUGAAAAACUCAAGGAUGUGGAGAAGAGUAGACCGUGGAACCCUGCUCUUCUGCAGCCAAGCUGAGGGGCAGGAUGCGUGUGGGACAGUGGUAGAGAAGCAGGGGAUAGACUCAUAGGCUGCAACAAAGGUGACUCUGUCCCUGGACACUGCCUCCGUACUUUCUCCUUGCUUCACUGGCCACAGCAUCUCCCUCCAGCCCUCGCUAUGUGCCUCUGCCAUCUUCACCCAUCAUGGAGCAGAGGUGAGGAGAGGCAGCCUGGGAAUAUGGAGACCAGUGAAGGACCAGGCCUGGAGAGCACAGGGUCCUACCUGGGCAUCCAGCAGAGGAGCCCCUAAAGGCCAGGAGCACCCCAAGAGGAGGGAGGGCAGCCAGCCUCCAUUGACGGCGAGCCUCCAGCCCUCUCCUACUUUGAUCACCAUUUCUCUCCAGGCUUUCUGCCUCCGAGAUGUGGCACCAUAGUGCGGUGCCCUGUGGCUUCACCGCCCUACUUCCACCUCCGCCCAGCCUGUAAUGUUUAUAUAAGCAGCCUCAAGGACCAAGAACCAUCUGCGAAAGGACACACACAGGAAAUUCAUAAAAGAAAUCUGAAUGGAUAAAACCAUGAAAAAAAGUAUGCUUCAUUAGUAAUUAAAGAAAGGCAAAUAGAGCUGGAAGCAUUUUUCCCUUAGCAAACCAUAACAGAAAAAAAUAAGACCCAAUAUUGGCAAAGAGACUACUGAAAAAACAUUCCCAUACAUUGCGUGUGGGAGUAUACAUCGGUGCAGGCUUCCUGGAUGACAGUUGGGUGAUAUGUGUCAUGUGGCCUAAAAGCCUCCAUGUCAUUUGACCUACGAAUUCUAUCUUUGGGAAUUUAUCCUAAGAAAAUACUUAAGGAUUUAGUUAGUGAUAAGAUGUUCAUCCCAGCAUUGCAAUGGAGAAAAAUGGGAAGCAAUGGUUUGGUUGGGAAUUUAUUCCUUUUCUGCUGUAACGAAAGUUUGCAAUAGGGGAUUGCUUAAGUAAAUUAUUGUAUCUCCAUCCAGAUGGUGGAGUACCGCGCAGACAUUAAAAGUCAUGUAAAAGAACAUCUGACUGAAAGAAAAAUGCUCCUUGAAUAUUAAAAGGUUGUAAAAAUAGUGCAUGUUAUGUGAUUUCAAUUUUGUUUUUUAAAAUAUGGGUGUAUGCUUGUAUACGUAGAGCAGAUAAAAAAGACGGAAGGCAUACUAAAAAAUGUUGAGUGGUUAUCUUUGUAUGGUGGAACAAAGUCACUGUAAUUUUCAUCUUUGGUUUUUCUGUAAUUUCCAAAUUUUCCACAUUUUGUAUUUCAUAUAAUAUAAUUUAAGAGA
rnacentral:lncRNA from 1 species